rnacentral:rRNA from 1 species
AGUGAACGCUAGCGGCGUGGUUAACACAUGCAAGUCGAACGAGAAAUUCCGACUUCGGUUGGAAGAGUACAGUGGCGCACGGGUGAGUAACGCGUGGGUAACCUGCCCCUGAAUCUGGGAUAACUCCGUGAAAACGGUGCUAAUACCUGAUAUUGUCCUGUUAACUGUGGUUUUCGGGAUGAAAGGUGACCUCUUCAUGAAAGUUGCCGUUUAGGGAUGGGCUCGCGUACCAUUAGCUUGUUGGUAGGGUAAUGGCCUACCAAGGCAACGAUGGUUAGCUGGUCUGAGAGGAUGAUCAGCCACACUGGAACUGAAACACGGUCCAGACUCCUACGGGAGGCAGCAGUGAGGAAUUUUGCGCAAUGGAGGAAACCCUGACGCAGCAACGCCGCGUGGGUGAAGAAGGCCCUAGGGUUGUAAAUCCCUUUCAGCGGGGAAGAUAAUGACGGUACCCGCAGAAGAAGCCCCGGCUAACUCCGUG